rnacentral:rRNA from 1 species
AUUGAACGCUGGCGGCAGGCUUAACACAUGCAAGUCGAGCGGGGGAAGGUAGCUUGCUACCGGACCUAGCGGCGGACGGGUGAGUAAUGCUUAGGAAUCUGCCUAUUAGUGGGGGACAACAUCUCGAAAGGGAUGCUAAUACCGCAUACGUCCUACGGGAGAAAGCAGGGGAUCUUCGGACCUUGCGCUAAUAGACGAGCCUAGGUCGGAUUAGCUAGUUGGUGGGGUAAAGGCCUACCAAGGGGACGAUCUGUAGCGGGUCUGAGAGGAUGAUCCGCCACACUGGGACUGAGACACGGCCCAGACUCCUACGGGAGGCAGCAGUGGGGAAUAUUGGACAAUGGGGGGAACCCUGAUCCAGCCAUGCCGCGUGUGUGAAGAAGGCCUUAUGGUUGUAAAGCACUUUAAGCGAGGAGGAGGCUACUCUAGUUAAUACCUAGGGAUAGUGGACGUUACUCGCAGAAUAAGCACCGGCUAACUCUGUGCCAGCCGCCGCCGUAA